rnacentral:rRNA from 1 species
AGUGAACGCUGGCGGUAGGCCUAACACAUGCAAGUCGAACGGCAGCACAGUAAGAGCUUGCUCUUACGGGUGGCGAGUGGCGGACGGGUGAGGAAUACAUCGGAAUCUACUUUUUCGUGGGGGAUAACGUAGGGAAACUUAUGCUAAUACCGCAUACGACCUACGGGUGAAAGCAGGGGAUCUUCGGACCUUGCGCGAUUGAAUGAGCCGAUGUCGGAUUAGCUAGUUGGCGGGGUAAAGGCCCACCAAGGCGACGAUCCGUAGCUGGUCUGAGAGGAUGAUCAGCCACACUGGAACUGAGACACGGUCCAGACUCCUACGGGAGGCAGCAGUGGGGAAUAUUGGAUAAUGGGCGCAAGCCUGAUCCAGCCAUACCGCGUGGGUGAAGAAGGCCUUCGGGUUGUAAAGCCCUUUUGUUGGGAAAGAAAAGCAGCAGGUUAAUACCCCGCUGUUCUGACGGUACCCAAAGAAUAAGCACCGGCUAACUUCGUG